rnacentral:misc_RNA from 1 species
AAAAUUUCUGCUGACUAGUGUGCAUGGUGUAUCAAGUUAAGCACGAUGAUUAAACUAUUCUUCAUUACUUUACUUUGCGUGACGCUGGUGUUCGCCGAGUCGCCGCAAGAAAACUUUCGAAAUGUACGAGCACUGGACAAACCAAUGACAGGAUUACAUGCGAAAUUAGUACGACGAUCGGCACAAGGGGGAGGAGCAGGAGGGCAAGCAGGAAUGGGAGGAGGAUUUGAACUUGGUGCGAAAGCCGGAGCAGGAUUAGGAUUUGGAGGGGAAGCAGGAGGAGGAGUAGAAGGGGGAGCAGAAGCUGGAUUUGGAUUUGGCAUGAACGUCGGAGCAGGAGGAGGAGCAGGCGGAAGCGGCAGAUAAUGAUCAUGAGAAUCAUGAGGAUCAUCAUACAAUGAAUAGUUUAUGCUCUUUAGGUUUCUGGAUAGAUAUGGAUAUUGAAGCCUAUCAUUAUAAGAUAGAUAAAAAUGAUUUAGAUUUCACUCCGCACUUUGACGUCUUUAUUAGAUUGUUUUGCACACUCAAGAACCCCGAUGGUUUUAAAAUAAAACUUAGCACUCUGCAAAAUACUUAUUC